CCUACGGGUGGCAGCAGUGGGGGAUAUUGCACAAUGGGGGAAACCCUGAUGCAGCGACGCCGCGUGGGCGAAGAAGUAUUUCGGUACGUAAAGCUCUAUCAGCAGGGAAGAAGAAAUGACGGUAUCUGAGGAAGAAGCACUGGCUAAAUACGUGCCAGCAGCCGCGGGAAUAUGUAUGGUGCAAGCGUUAUCCGGAUUUACUGGGGGUAAAGGGAGCGCAGGCGGGACGGACAGCCUGAUGUGAAAGCGCUGGGCCCAACCGCGAGACUGCAUUGUGAACUACCGAGCUGGAGUGCAGGAGGGGUGAGCGGAAUUCCUAGUGUAGCGGUGAAAUGCGUAGAUAUUAGGAGGAACACCGGUGGCGAAGGCGGCCUACUGGACUGUGACUGACGCUGAGGCUCGAAAGCGUGGGGAGCAAACAGGAUUAGAUACCCGAGUAGUC
rnacentral:rRNA from 1 species